GUUCUGAUCUGCAUCUGUCCGACAUGGUAAACAGCAGGAAUGGCUGUAGCUGUUCUCUUUGCCAAGAACAGAUCUGAUCU
rnacentral:miRNA from 1 species